AUUGAACGCUGGCGGCAGGCCUAACACAUGCAAGUCGAACGAGUGGCGGACGGGUGAGUAAUGUCUGGGAAACUGCCUGAUGGAGGGGGAUAACUACUGGAAACGGUAGCUCAUACCGCAUACCAUCAGAUGUGCCCAGAUGGGCUUAGCUUGUUUGUGGGGUAACGGCUCACCAAGGCGACGCUCCCUAGCUGGUCUGAGAGGAUGACCAGCCACAAUGGAACUGAGACACGGUACAGACUCGUACGGGAGGCAGCAGUGGGGAAUAUUACACAAGGGGCGGAAGACGGAUGCGGCCAUGCCGCGUGGAUGAAGAAGGCCUUCGGGUUGUAAAGUACUUUCAGCGGGGAGGCGUUACCCGGAGAAGAAGCACCGGCUAACUCCGUGCCAGCCGCCGCGGUAAUUC
rnacentral:rRNA from 1 species